rnacentral:misc_RNA from 1 species
GUAGUUUAUCGGAAGCUUGAAUAAACUGCGCUGUGAGCUGAUUCCCUCCUUCCUUCUUUGUUGACGAAUGAGUACUGAGUACGAGUAUUUUGAUUGCUUGUAACACAGGUGGUGUUAGUGUCUGUGAAUUCCAGCUUCUAUAUUCCAAGACAUAAGUGUUCUUUUUCAUCGUUGAAGUGGUAAGAAUUCCUUCGUAAAAAUGUCAUGCAAAAUACAAAACAAAAGGCAAUAUAAAAAUAAAUCGUCCCCCUACAUGAGAUGCCCUUCAAGUAGCAACACCUGUAAUAAACCAACAGAGCUUCAAACUAAGCAAGAUUAUGGAGAUUUAAUACGUUCUUAUAGUUAUCUGAACGACUGCUCUCUGAAGGUUGGCGACCCGAAUCUUGGACAACCUGAGAUAAUUAAAGUCUGCCGAUUUACCCUGCUGAUUCACAGUUCUGUGUUCCGGACAAUGCUAGACGACGGUCCAUUGGGCGAUCCAUCUGGAGAGCACACACACAUUAAGGAUGUGGAGCCUCAUAUCUUCAAAUUGAUGCUCAGGCAUAUGUACGGCUGUUUGGACGACCCGAAAGAUAUCCCUUUAGAGAUGCGUGAGGAUCUGAUCCUGUGUGCGGAUAAGUACAACGUCCAGCCUCUCAUAGCCAAAGUUGGCAGACUGCUGAUGCCUACCCAAGUCUCUAAUGUGUUUCCAGCCUUGCGUUGUUCAUCUAUCAUCUCUAUUCCAGAGUUAGAGAUAGCAGUAACUUAUAUUGUUCAGAACAAUUCAUGUGAUAUUCUUAAUCAUGCAGAAUUCCUGAAAUUGAAUGAUCUUGCUGUGGAAUUUAUUGUUAAAGUGUUACUUAAUAACGAGCUUGUGAUUUGGAAUGCACUUGUUAAAUGGGCGGAGCACCAAGCUACCAUCACACCUGGAUCCUCUCUUAGACAACUGAUGACCAAACCCUUAAGACAUAUUCGUUUUGCAACCAUGAAGCAUAAGGAUAUAGUGGAGAGCGUCAUUCCCAAAAAUAUUCUGUCUCCUGAAGAAAUUGUGCAAGUAUACCAAGCUAUAGAGAAGAAUAAGACUUUUGUAGUACCAGGCCUGUGUGGGAACAUAGCUGUAAGGAGUAAACCGAAUACGUUUGGUUUGACAAAGUAUUAUUAAAUAUAAACUUGAAAAAACUUUACAUUAAGAUUUUUAGAAUUAAUUAUAUCUUAAAAACGUUUUGUCAUAUUGGAGGAAAUCAUUCUUGGUAUUUUUAUUCGCAAUGGUUCCAAUUCCAACUGCUUUUUGGGGAGAGGUUCGUCACAAAAUGCUCAAUAUCGGUAGUGUGAGAAUCUCUAACACACAAAUAUUUUUAUCAUUUGUUAUAGUUUGCUACUGGCAGGAAUUAUAUAUUGACUUUAAUUUAACCCUUUCAGUCCCAUUUUGCACUGAAUUCAUUUAAUUUUGUAAAACUGUUAAAAAACAACAGCUUUGGAAUUUUUAGAUUUUUUAAAUUACUUUUUUGGAAAAUAAAGUAAAAAAAAAAACUCACUGCGAUAUAUUGUUUCAAAUAAGCUCCUUGGGUUUGAAUAAUACUAUUGAAUUAAAAGUAAAGUUAAUUUAUUUAAAUACAUUGUAUAUAAAUGUUCUUAUAACAAGGUUAACAAAUAUUGAAAUGUAGAAAAUACAGAUCAAAACUUCAACCAGUAAUUUUGCGUGUGGUAUGGAUUAAUAAAACAGUCUUUACAAACUGGUACUUCAAAUUCUUUGCAAUUGGUCUUUGCAUGUAUUUCUAUUCUAUUUCGGGAACAUCUUGUACACUGUCUUCUGAAUGUGCCUUGUAUUGGAAGAUGGGAACCCACAUCAAUCAUAGCCUUAAACCUCUUGCUAGCUCUACCCUUCCUCUUGCCUCUCUUUAUAUAUGAAUCUUAUCGACCUGUUGCAAUCAGCUGUUCAGCUAGAGGUGGAGUGUAAUCAAUUAGUGACAAUCAGCUGUUCAUCUAGAAGUGGAGUGUAAUCAAUUAGUGACAAUCAGCUGUUCAUCUAGAGGUGGAGUGUAAUCAAUUAGUGACAAUCAGCUGUUCAGCUAGAGGUGGAGUGUAAUCAAUUAUGACAUUUUCUAUGAGAGGACAGGGUUAGUCUUACUAAUACUCUAGGUGGACUAAGUGAGAAUAUCUAGUAUUGUAACAAUGAAAGUUGCUGUUGAGUUUAAGUGUAUGUAAAUUACGUUUAACACACAGUAAAGUAACAAAUAUAUACUGGUUUACAACAGUUAA